GGCCUAGUGGCGAAGUGGUUUCGCAUCCGCCAAAUUUGGGAUGAAGACGUCUGCACUUUCCGCGGAAGACACCCGUUCGAUUCGGGUCUGGCCCG